UAAUUGAUUUUAUUUCAUCAUUGGUUUACCAUAGUUUUUUUUUUCCUUCUCACUUUUGUUCCUAAUCAACCUUUUGCUUCUACAACAUUUUUAUCGUGAAAAAAUAUUGAAUUUAUUCUGAAAAAUAGACUACUCAAAAAAAAUCCAAGAAAGCCUACAUAUGUACAUGGAAUCUUGAAUGCAUGUCACGUAACUCUCUUCUCCUUCUCUAUUAAGAAAGCCUCUUUCUUCUUCUCUCUC